UUUUCUGAAAGGAAAGGAAAUCGAAAGUAUAAGGUAGUAUUUACAGCAUUGAUUGCAUUCUGAACAUCAGAGACACGCUACCUGCGGAGAAGUAAAGGCCAGCUACCAUUUAAUUUUCGUACGUUAGUUACUCACGCAUUGAUUGGACAUUAUGAGACCGAGUUGGGCAGAAAAUAUGCAGCCACUUGUCUUCGCCUUGAGUUUAUUAUUUUUAAAUACUGAUUUGUCAAAUUGUUUACAGUGUUUAGAUUACGAAGGAAAACCAGUUGACUGGUUUGUUGUAUACAAGUUACCAAAAUUAGAUCAAAAUAAAUCGAGCCCUAUUCUUCAUCAUGGGUUAGGUCAUUUUUAUCUGGAUGCCAAUAAUCCAGAAUUUCAACUAUCAAAAUAUUCUUUGAACUCUUCAAAUGAUGCCAUUUAUUACACUCUACAACAGAUUUACACUGCCAAGGAUGACUCAAUAUUAUAUGGUAUGUAUAAUGAUGAACCACCAACCCAAUAUGGAUCCGUCACCAAUGGCCAUACAAAAGGUGUGAUAGCAAGUAAUGAAAAUCAAGGCUAUUGGUUGGUACACAGUGUACCCAAAUACCCUCCACGUAAAAGUGAAUCUUACACCUGGCCAGAAAGUGCGACAAUUUAUGGUCAGAACUUCUUAUGUAUCACAAUUG